rnacentral:rRNA from 1 species
UACGUAGGGACCAAGCGUUGUCCGGAAUCAUUGGGCGUAAAGAGCGUGUAGGCGGCUUGUUAAGUCUUGCGUGAAAUCUCGGGGCUCAACCCCGAGCGGUCGUGAGAAACUGGCAGGCUAGAGUGCGGGAGAGGAGAGUGGAAUUCCUGGUGUAGCGGUGAAAUGCGCAGAUAUCAGGAGGAACACCGGUGGCGAAGGCGGGUCUCUGGGCCGAUACUGACGUGAGGAGCGAAAGCGUGGGGGAGCGAACAGG